rnacentral:rRNA from 1 species
UACGUAGGAGACGAGCGUUGUCCGGAAUCACUGGGCGUAAAGCGCGUGUAGGCGGAUCGGCAAGUCUGCUGUGAAAGCUCCUGGCUUAACCGGGAGUGGUCGGUGGAAACUGCCAGUCUGGAGGACGGUAGAGGUAGGUAGAAUUCCCGGUGUAGUGGUGAAAUGCGUAGAGAUCGGGAGGAAUACCUGUGGCGAAGGCGGCCUACUGGGCCGGACCUGACGCUGAGACGCGAAGGCGUGGGGAGCGAACGGG